UGCGCCCUUGCCAGCCCGCUCAGAAACUUAAAGGAAUUGACGGGGGAGCACCACAACGGGUGGAGCUUGCGGUUUAUUGGAUUCAACGCCGGAAAUCUUACCGGGACCGACAGCAAUAUGAAGGCCAGGCUGAAGACUUUGCCGGAUUAGCUGAGAGGUGGUGCAUGGCCGUCGUCAGUUCGUACUGUGAAGCAUCCUGUUAAGUCAGGCAACGAGCGAGACCCACGCCCACAGUUGCCAGCGUACUCUCUGGAGUGACGGGUACACUGGUGGGGACCGCCGCUGCUAAAGCGGAGGAAGGAAUGGGCAACGGUAGGUCAGUAUGCCCCGAAUAUCCCGGGCUACACGCGAGCUACAAUGGUUGGUACAAUGGGUAUCUACCCCGAAAGGGGACGGGAAUCUCCUAAAACCAAUCUUAGUUCGGAUUGGGGGCUGCAACUCGCCCUCAUGAAGCUGGAAUCCGUAGUAAUCGCGUUUCAACAGAACGCGGUGAAUACGUCCCUGCUCCUU
rnacentral:rRNA from 1 species